GAUCCUGCCGGACCCCACUGCUAUCGGGAUGGGACUAAGACAUGUUAGUCGUGCGCUUCCUAGCCAUGAUGGAGGCGCGGCGCACAGCUCAGUAGCACGUAGCUAACCUGCCCUUGAGACGGGAGCACCCCCGGGAAACUGGGGCUAAUUUCCGAUAGGUGAAGACUCCUGGAAUGGAUUUUCGCCCAAAGGACGCCUAGGUCAUGCUUCUAGGCGUCGCUCAAGGAUGGGGCCGCGGCCGAUCAGGUUGUUGGUGAGGUAACGGCUCACCAAGCCUUUAACCGGUGCGGGCCGUGGGAGCGGUAGCCCGGAGAUGGGCACUGAGACAAGGGCCCAGGCCCUACGGGGCGCAGCAGUCGCGCAAACUUCGCAAUAAGCGAAAGCUUGACGGGGCUAUCCCGAGUGCCAUCCGCUGAGGAUGGCUUUUGCCCAGUAUAGAUAGCUGGGAGAAUAAGGAGAGGGCAAGUCUGGUGUCAGCCGCCGCGGUAAUACCAGCUCUCCGAGUGGUGUGGACAUUUAUUGGGCCUAAAGCAUCCGUAGCCGGCUGGGCAAGUCCCCUGUUAAAUCCAGCGAAUUAAUCGUUGGCCUGCGGGGGAUACUGCUCGGCUAGGAGGCGGGAGAGGCCGUCGGUAUUCCCGGGGUAGGGGUGAAAUCCUAUAAUCCCGGGAGGACCACCAGUGGCGAAGGCUGUCGGCUAGAACGCGCUCGACGGUGAGGGAUGAAAGCUGGGGGAGCGAACCGGAUUAGAUACCCGGGUAGUCCCAGCUGUAAACGAUGCAGGCUAGGUGUUAGGGCGGCCACGUGCCGCUCUAGUGCCGCAGGGAAACUGUUAAGCCUGCCGCCUGGGGAGUACGGCCGCAAGGCUGAAACUUAAAGGAAUUGGCGGGGGAGCACCACAAGGGGUGAAGCUUGCGGUUUAAUUGGAUUCAACGCCGGG
rnacentral:rRNA from 1 species